AAAACGACUCUCGGCAACGGAUAUCUAGGCUCUCGCAUCGAUGAAGAACGUAGCAAAAUGCGAUACUUGGUGUGAAUUGCAGAAUCCCGUGAACCAUCGAGUUUUUGAACGCAAGUUGCCCCUGAAGCCAUUAGGCUGAGGGCACGUCUGCCUGGGCGUCUC
rnacentral:rRNA from 1 species